CAUCUCCAAGACUCACACUUCCUCCAUCGGAUUUCUCAUAUGUAGCAAACCACUCCCGAUAUGCAGUGUAGUGGUCGGAACAUGCUAAAUCCAGUGUCCAGUGGCUAUCAACCUCUAUAGUCCCAUCUGACACAACUAGUAAGUCAUCUCCACUAUUCUCAGAUGAUAGAGCACCACUCCCGCUGGUUGAACCACCCUUGGAAAAGCCCUUCCCCUUCUCAUUCUUCAAAAGUGGGCAAUUCCUUUUCAGAUGAUCAGGCUGUUGACACUUAUAGCACUUUGGAGCUUUUUGAUUCCCUCG
rnacentral:lncRNA from 1 species